GGAUGGUCUAGCCUGCGAGUCGUUGUAGCAAUACAAGGCGGACGGCUCAGUAACACGUAGUCAAUCAAACCUAUGGACGUGGAUAACCUCGGGAAACUGAGAAUAAACCGCGAUAGAUCAUAAUGCCUGGAAUGGCUUAUGGUCCAAACAAUUUAUUGCCGUAGGAUGGGACUGCGGCCUAUCAGCUUGUUGGUGAGGUAAUGGCCCACCAAGGCUAUAACAGGUACGGGCUCUGAGAGGAGAAGCCCGGAGAUGGGUACUGAGACACGGACCCAGGCCCUAUGGGGCGCAGCAGGCGAGAAACCUUAGCAAUGUGCGAAAGCACGACUAGGUUAAUCCGAGUGGUUCCUGCUAAAGGAACCUUUUGUCAGUCGUAAAACCACAGACGAAUAAGGGGUGGGCAAGUCUGGUGUCAGCCGCCGCGGUAAUACCAGCACCUCGAGUGGUCAGGAGGUUUAUUGGGCCUAAAGCAUCCGUAGCCGGCUAUGCAAAGUCUCCGGUUAAAUCCAACUGCUCAACAGAUGGGCUGCCGGAGAUACUACAUAGCUAGGGAGCGGGAGAGGAAGACGGUAUUCUGUGGGUAGGGGUAAAAUCCACUGAUCCAUAGAGGACCACCAGUGGCGAAGGCGGUCUUCCAGAACGCGUUCGACGGUGAGGGAUGAAAGCUGGGGGAGCAAACCGGAUUAGAUACCCGGGUAGUCCCAGCUGUAAACGAUGCAACCUCGGUGAUGCGUUGGCUUAUGGCCCAACGCAGUGCCGCAGGAGAAGCCGUUAAGUUUGCCGCCCUGGGAAGUUACGGACGCAAGUUCUGAAAACUUCA
rnacentral:rRNA from 1 species